ACAAGUACCGUGAGGGAAAGUUGCAAAGCACUUUGAAGAGAGAGUUAAAGAGGACGUGAAACCGGUGGGGUGGAAACGGAUAGAGCUAGCGUAUCUGGCAUGCAUUCAACUGCUAUACAGUCGCGGCUUGAACUUUGAUCUCCAGAUUGGGCACUGUUCGAGUCAUUGGCUGUUGUGUGGUGCAUUUGCAUGUGGAGUGCGCAGAGGCGUCAGGGAUUGAGGUGUGAUCUCGGUUUUGAGGCCAGCUUGCUGGUACCCAAACUGGGGGAGCACCUUUUGUUCCGGACGUUUUGUUGCAAGGCUUACAAGCUCUAUUGGGGCUCGAACUGGCGGUCGGUAACGGUCGCAUGCGACACGUGCCGUGCAACCAGUUCGGUCCUGGUCGAGCUCACGUGCAGUCUCUCUGCGUAAAAGCUGGUCACCUAUUCGACCCGUCUUGAAACACGGACCAAGGAGUUUAUCGUGUGCGCGAGUCAUUGGGCUUUGAAAACCCCCAAAGACGAAAUGAAAGUAAAUGUCCUCGCAAGAGGCUGACGUGUGAUUCUACGCUUUUCGAAGCGGGGACGCAACAUGGCCCCAUUCUGACUGCUUGCAGUGGGGUGGAGGAAGAGCGCAUGCGGUGAGACCCGAAAGAUGGUGAACUAUUCCUGAGCAGGAUGAAGCCAGAGGAAACUCUGGUGGAAGUCCGAAGCGGUUCUGACGUGCAAAUCGAUCGUCUGACUUGGGUAUAGGGGCGAAAGACUAAUCGAACCAUCUAGUAGCUGGUUCCUUCCGA
rnacentral:rRNA from 1 species